rnacentral:rRNA from 1 species
GACGAACGCUGGCGGCGUCCUUAACACAUGCAAGUCGAACGGAAAGGCCCUGCUUUUGUGGGGUGCUCGAGUGGCGAACGGGUGAGUAACACGUGAAUAACCUGCCCUUGACUUUGGGAUAACUUCAGGAAACUGGGGCUAAUACCGGAUAGGAGCUCCUGCUGCAUGGUGGGGGUUGGAAAGUUUCGGCGGUUGGGGAUGGACUCGCGGCUUAUCAGCUUGUUGGUGGGGUAGUGGCUUACCAAGGCUUUGACGGGUAGCCGGCCUGAGAGGGUGACCGGCCACAUUGGGACUGAGAUACGGCCCAGACUCCUACGGGAGGCAGCAGUGGGGAAUAUUGCACGAUGGGCGGAAGCCUGAUGCAGCAACGCCGCGUGCGGGAUGACGGCCUUCGGGUUGUAAACCGCUUUCGCCUGUGACGAAGCGUGAGUGACGGUAAUGGGUAAAGAAGCACCGGCUAACUACGUGCCAGCAGCCGCGGUGAUACGUAGGGUGCGAGCGUUGUCCGGAUUUAUUGGGCGUAAAGGGCUCGUAGGUGGUUGAUCGCGUCGGAAGUGUAAUCUUGGGGCUUAACCCUGAGCGUGCUUUCGAUACGGGUUGACUUGAGGAAGGUAGGGGAGAAUGGAAUUCCUGGUGGAGCGGUGGAAUGCGCAUAUAUCAGGAGGGACACCAGUGGCGAAGGCGGUUCUCUGGGCCUUUCCUGACGCUGAGGAGCGAAAGCGUGGGGAGCGAACAGGCUUAGAUACCCUGGUAGUCCACGCUGUAAACGGUGGGUACUAGGUGUGGGGUCCAUUCCACGGGUUCCGUGCCGUAGCUAACGCUCUAAGUACCCCGCCUGGGGAGUACGGCCGCAAGGCUAAAACUCAAAGGAAUUGACGGGGCCCCGCACAAGCGGCGGAGCAUGCGGAUUAAUUCGAUGCAACGCGUAGAACCUUACCUGGGUUUGACAUGGAUCGGGAGCGCUCAGAGAUGGGUGUGCCUCUUUUGGGGUCGGUUCACAGGUGGUGCAUGGCUGUCGUCAGCUCGUGUCGUGAGAUGUUGGGUUAAGUCCCGCAACGAGCGCAACCCUUGUUCACUGUUGCCAGCACGUUAUGGUGGGGACUCAGUGGAGACCGCCGGGGUCAACUCGGAGGAAGGUGGGGAUGACGUCAAGUCAUCAUGCCCCUUAUGUCCAGGGCUUCACGCAUGCUACAAUGGCUGGUACAGAGAGUGGCGAGCCUGUGAGGGUGAGCGAAUCUCGGAAAGCCGGUCUCAGUUCGGAUUGGGGUCUGCAACUCGACCUCAUGGAGUCGGAGUCGCUAGUAAUCGCAGAUCAGCAACGCUGCGGUGAAUACGUUC